GAACUUUCCAGAGAUGGAUUGGUGCCUUCGGGAACUGUGAGACAGGUGCUGCAUGGCUGUCGUCAGCUCGUGUUGUGAAAUGUUGGGUUAAGUCCCGCAACGAGCGCAACCCUUAUCCUUUGUUGCCAGCGGUCCGGCCGGGAACUCAAAGGAGACUGCCAGUGAUAAACUGGAGGAAGGUGGGGAUGACGUCAAGUCAUCAUGGCCCUUACGACCAGGGCUACACACGUGCUACAAUGGCGCAUACAAAGAGAAGCGACCUCGCGAGAGCAAGCGGACCUCAUAAAGUGCGUCGUAGUCCGGAUUGGAGUCUGCAACUCGACUCCAUGAAGUCGGAAUCGCUAGUAAUCGUGGAU
rnacentral:rRNA from 1 species